rnacentral:lncRNA from 1 species
AGAUCCCCAACCCACUGAGCAAGGCCAGGGAUCAAACCCGCAACCUCAUGGUUCCUAGUCGGAUUCGUUAACCACUGCACCACGACAAGAACUCCAGAGAGACCAAUAUUCUUGAUUGAUAAAUCCAUGCCACCCUUGGGAAUGUUCGCCCAUCCUAAUAUACAAUCCCUCAAGUACACGUUCUUUCUUUUUUUGUUUGGUUGUUUUUUUUUGGGGGGGGGAGGGGUUGGCUUUUUAGGAUCACAUCCAUAGCACAUGAAAGUUCCCAGGCUAGGGGUCGAAAUCAGAGCUACAGCUGCCAGCCUACACCACAGCCACAGCAACGCCAGAUCCGAGCCACAUCUGUGACCAUACGUGAGAAUUAACAUAUGUCUUUUCUAUCAAAGGCAGCCAUGGCUACUCCAUUUUGUUCCUGCUUCAUCUGAGACACCCUCCUCCACCCUCCUCUUUUCCUCUUCUCCCAGUAACAAUUUGUUUCAAAUUAGCCAACCGAGAAGAAUGCGCAUCCUGACCUGACCAGUGGGAAGGGGACUGAGGUACCGCCUGCGUUAGGGAUACAUACGGGGGUCUUCCUUUUUUGUGUGCAUUUUUUGAGCACUUGCGCCCUUCUGCAAAGUAGAGCCUUGUUGAGAUCUCCCCGCGUUCGUGUGUCUUACUUCCUGACACUGACGAUCUGAGCCAGUCACUUUUCCCCAACAAUUUGGGGGGCUCAUCUGAGAUUUGGGGCCACUGAAGCAUGGAUUCUCGAGGAGGGGAGACGUGUCCCAUGGCCCCAUUGCAGCGGCCCUGAAUUGAGAGGGCCACUUGAACAUCAAACGCAUGGAGGGUUCUCGACAACACGGGAGGACAGUCUAAAGAAAAGGGCAACCAAGGCGACCAGCUGACUCCGUGCAUGGACCAAGGUAGGAAAGGUAGAGUUGUGGGGGCAACCGAGUAGUUCCUUGGUGGUCGGGGAAAGGGACUGGUAAGCCUCAAAAUGUCCCGGGUGAGACUGGCAAUUUCAGGUGAAACCAGAGAAUCAGAGCACAAUCCCAGGCAAAUAGGAAGUAAGUCUUCCCAACCCACACCUCCACUCGGAGGAUCUCCGGGUGGAGGGGGAAACCAAAUUCCUCCAGGCAGUCCUCUGGGAUUAAUGUUAAAGUAUUGGGGCGACAAUCCAUGGAUGAAGGACAAAAAGAAGGGAAGAAUGAUUAAAUAUUGCUGUUUUACCUGGACACAGACACCUAUUCUCACCCCAUCCAUCUUCUGGCCAAAGUUUGGAUCAGACGAGGACUGAGUCUGCCAGCUGCUCAUUCAGUUUGUCCAGACACCGAGGUCGCAGGAGGAAACUAACUAAGCUCUCUGUUGGCAGCAGGGACCGGUUGUCUUAUUUCCCCUCAGAGCACGGGAACAGAAAGGAAAUGAGGGGGAACAGAAGGGAAAUGAGGAGGGAACCCAAGAACGUUCUGCGACUUCCUCCCCUCCAAGGGACUCCCUUGACUCCCUGCCACCGCCUUCCAACCUCCGAAAUGGCACUGCCCUCAAUCCCGCCACAGCCGCCACCCACUGCAGCUGCGCGUAGCACCGGAGGGAGAGGGGAGAGAGGCCCAGGGCACAGGCGCAAGCGCCCACACGGUCAGAGCCCACCGCCUCAAGGAAACCAAAGGAUAUGUCAGGGCCUUAUUCCAGACUUAGGUGAGAGUUAAAACAAUGUCAGGAGGAUAUUCAAAACUUUCCGCUUCCUAUCGCUACCCCUGGGGACGGACAAGAAGAGCCGCAACCACUAUUCCCAGUACGGAGGUUCCCUUGGGUGGGGGCGGAUAGGAUAUGUAAAUGCCCCUUUAACCAGCACUGAGGCCCAAAAUUUUAGAGGGAAUUGUGGCCCUUGUUGGAGGAUCCAUUCGGGGUAGCAGAUCGAGUGGAUCUUUUCCUUGGACCACAAGUCGAUACAUGGUCUGAAUUAAUGUCUAUUUUGAGUAUUCUAUUUUCCAGGGAAGAAAGGGGGAUAAUUCGAAGGGCAGCCAUGGCCUCGUGGGAGCGAACCCACCCCUCCCCAGCCCAGGGAGGGUUCAGGCAGAAAGUAAAUUUCCCAAUGAGGCCCCCAGGUGGGACGGUGAUAAUGCUGCACAGCGGGGGCAUAUGGUAGACUUGAGAAAUCUCAUAAUUCAGGGAAUCAGAGGGGCCGUACCUCAGACUCAAAAUGUAUCUAAGGCAUUUGAAGUACAGCAAGGUAAAGAGGAGGGGCCAGCUGAAUUUUUGGAAAGACUCAGAGUUCAAAUGAGAAGAUAUAAUGGAAUAGAUUCCACCACCGUCCCUCUAGGACAGGGCAUACUCAAACAUCAUUUUGUAACUAAUAGUUGGCCAGAUAUUUCCAAAAAGUUACAAAAGAUAGAGGAUUGGAAAGAUAAACCUUUAGAGAACUUACUAAAAGAGGAACAGAAGGUUUAUGUGAGAAGAGAUGAGGAAAAGCAAAAACAAUAGGCCAAGGUCAUGUCUGCAUAUCAACAAAAACAAGACAGGUCAAAUCAAAGGGUCCCUGGGGCAAAAAUAAGAGAGGUCGGAAGAUCGGGCCUCAUGGCUACCCAGAAACGGACCUUGAUGAAAAGGGAAAUAGAUGGCAGAGUGAAAACAAGUGCUUUAAGGGUGGCAAAUUGGGACAUUUCAAAAGGGAAGGCCCUGAAUGGGAAAAAGAGAAAAAAAACAAUCUCUAUGAUGUUGUUUGAAGUAGAUGAAGACUAGGGGGUCAGAGGCUCUCAUUAGCUAUUGACCAACUUAAAAAUCCAUAGGUGCCCUACCCAGAGCCCUUGAUAAAUUCAGAGGUAGGGCCAUACCAUGAAACUAUGAUCUUUCUUAUUGAUUUAGGGGUGUCCCACCCCUCGCUUUGUUAUGUGCCCAAAGGGCUUUCUCCUUCUUGUGAACAAAUAUUAGUAUCUGGAGUAAAAGGAGAGGGAUUUUCAACAAGAAUUUCAGAAGAAGCCAAAGUAAAUUUCCAAAACAGAUGUGCUAAAACAGGCUUCCUUUUUGUUCCAGAGUCAGGCACAAACCUGUGAGGAAGAGACUUAAUGGCAGUCCUGGGCUUACAGGUUACCAAAAAAACUUUACAAGUAAAACUGAAUCUUCUAACCCCAGCGGUAGAGGGAUAAAUUCAACCACAGGCGUGGGAAUCAGAGGGAAAUCGUGGGGGACUUAAAGUGACCCCAAUUAAAAUGCAGUUAAAGACCCCGGGAGAAGUAGCUGGGAAAAAACAAUACCCUGUCCCUCUACAGGGAAGGAUGGGACUUAAACCAAUUAUAGAGGGACUGACUCCUUCAAGAGGGUCUCCUAGAACCUUGCGUGUCUUCCUACGACACCUCUAUUCUUCCUGUAUGUGAGAGGGAUGGGUCCUAUUGCUUAGGCCAGCAUUUGUGGGCAAUCGAUCAAAUGGUUAAGACUAGGCACCCAAGGGUCCCAAAUCCUUAUACCCUCCUGAGUAAAAUUCCAUUUGUCCACAAGUGGUUCAGUGUAACUGACUUAAAGGAUGCCUUCUGGGCAUGCCCCUUGGACUUGGAUAGUCAGGACCUACUCGCCUUCGAAUGGAAGGACCCAGUAACAGGAAGAAGACAACAAUAUAGACGGACAGUCCUUCCUCAGGGGUUUACAGACUCCCCACAUCUUUUCAGACAAAUUUUAGAACAGGUGUUGGGAGAAUUUACACCCCCUCACAGGACCUGUCUGCUCCAACAUGUAGAUGACUUGCUACUCUCAAGCAGUGAUCAAAAGAAACUUUCAGCAGCUAUGGUUUCCCUCCUCUCUUUUCUUGGGGAAAAAGGCCUUAGGGUCUCGAAGAAGAAGUUACAAUUUGUUGAAAAAGAGGGGAAAUAUUUGGGACAUCUGAUAAGCGGGGGGAAAAGAACUCAGCCCAGAAAGGAUAGAGGGGAUCAUAGGCCUGCCUCUUCCAGCUACCAAACAUGAGCUUAGAAAGUUCCUGAUUGGAUACUGUCACCUUUGGAUCAAUUCUUAUGCAUUAAAAACUAAAAAUUUAUACUCCAAGCUUGCAGAGGAAGGCCCCAAUCCCCUACUAUGGAGCCAGGAGGAGGUACAACAAUUUAGGGAUCAAGGGAGGCACUGACGGGAUGCCCCUGUUCUGGCUCCUCCAUCCUUUGAAAAACCUUUUCAUUUAUUUGUAAGGGUGGAGGAGGAAUAGCUCUGGGGGUCCUCACACAGGAACAUGGGGAAGCCGCCAGCCAACGGCCUUCCUUUCCUGCUUCCUGGACCCUGUCGCCAGAGGAUGGCCUGAGUGCAUACAGUCAGUAGCCGCCACCGCCCUAUUAAAUGAAGAAAGAAGAAAACUCACUUUGGGAGGAAGACUGACCAUAAGUACCCCACAGCAGGUACGAGCCAUCCUAAACCAAAGGGUAGGAAGAUGGCCCACUGACUCCCAAAUCUUAAAGUAUGAGGCAAGCUUAUUGGAAAAGAAUGACUUAACUUUAACCACUGAUGAGGCCUUAAACCCUGCUUCUUUUCUCUCCCAAAUGGAGCCCUCAACUCCAAUUGACCAUCCAUUGUUUAAAUUUAGUAAGACUAUCAGACCAAAACUUGACCCCAUCUAUGGGAAACUCCCUUCAUUUCGGGGAGACACUUAUUCAUUGAUGGAUCUUCUCGUUCAUUCAAGGAAAACGACACAAUGGCUACUCAACUGUCAAUGGAGAGAUUCAAUCGAUAACUGAGUCAGGAAGACUCCUGAAUAUACGGUCGGCUCAUAUUUGCCAACUCUUUGCCCUUAACCAGGCCUUAAAAUACUUAAAAGGAAAAGAGGGCACAAUCUAUAUCGACUCUAAAUAUGCCUUUGGGGUGGUCCAUACCUUUAGAAAAAUUUGGAUGAAAAGAGGACGAGGACCCAUCAACAGUAAAGAACAGAGAACUAAUCGAACAGAUACUUGACAACCUCCAACUCCCAGAAGAGACAGUGGUGGUACAUGUGCCAGGCCACCAAAAGGGGGUCUUAUUUGAAGCUCGAGGAAACUCCCUAGCAGAUGAGGAAGCCAAGAGGGUAGCAUUAGAAUCAGAGGUCCCCAUCGCCCAUCUUACUCCCUCCCUUCCCAAAAUAACAAUCUCUCCCUCCUUUUCAGAAAAGCAGAAGGAACAGCUACAUCAGCUGGGGGCUCAGCCUGAGGCUCAAGGAAGAUGGUUGCUCCCAGAUGGAAGGGAAAUGCUCUCCAAACCCCUAAUGAGAGAAAUUAUCACAUCCCUAUACCAAGGGAGCCACUGGGGACCCCAAGCCAUGUGUGACACAGUCUUAAGGGUCUAUGGGUACGCUGGUAUUUACACAAUAGCCAAACAGGUAAUAGAAGGUUGCUUAAAAUGCAAAAAGACCAAUAAAAAGACUUUACAGAAAAGAACUACCAGAGCAAGGUCUCCCAGUUUUAGGCCUUUCCAAGGUAUCCAAAUUGACUACGCUGAAAUGCCCAAAAUAGGGCAACUCAAAUAUCUCUCAAUCAUAGCAGACCAUCUAACUCAUUGGGUGGAAACUAUCCCAUUACCCAGUGCCACAGCCAAUUACGUGACAAAGGCCUUAUUAGAACAAAUUAUUCCCAGAUUUGGGAUGGCUGAAAACAUGUAUUCGCAUAAUGAAAGUCAUUUUAAGGCUCGAAUAAUAAAGAGACUUUCCAAAGAAUUAGAUAGUAAAUGGGAAUAUCAUACCUCGUGGCACACCCCUCCCCCUUGUCUGGUCAAAUUGAAAGAAUGAACCAAACUCUCAAAAUUCACUUAGCUAAUACUAGAAACCGGCUACCCUGGACCAAAUGUCUCCGUAUUGCUUUACUCAGAAUUAGAACUGCUCCCUGAAAAGAUGUCGGUCCCUCUCCCUGUAAAAUGUAUGGACUUCCUUAUCUGGGUAGAUCAUCUGCCCUGCCUACCUUUGAAACCAAAGAUCAAUUUUUAAAGAAUUAUGUGCUUGGUCUAUCUUUCACUCUUCAUUUUCUCAUACAAAAGGGAUUACUAGCCCAGACUCCACCGCUUGACUUCCCGGACCACUGACAUCAGCCUGGAGGCUAUGUGUUAAUCAAAUCAUGGAAAGAAGACAGACUCCAGCCAACCUGGGAGGGACCGCUCCUCGUGUUGCUGA